GGUGGGUUGGCCGAGUGGUUUAAGGCGACGGUUUGCUAAACCGUUGGUGGUUAAUAAGCCGCCGCGUGGGUUCGAAUCCCACACCCACCG
rfam:Candidatus Curtissbacteria bacterium RIFCSPLOWO2_01_FTLL_41_18 rifcsplowo2_01_scaffold_64273, whole genome shotgun sequence.